rfam:Medicago truncatula strain A17 chromosome 1, whole genome shotgun sequence.
CCCUUAACUAUUAAAAGUUUCGUUUUGGUCCCUUAACUUAUUUUUUGGUUUCAUUUUGGUCCCUUAACUCUUCCUCCGUCAACCACUUUGGUCCUUUAUGUUAGAUGACUGUAUUAGAGUUAAGGGACCAAAACGAAACCAAAAAAUAAGUUAAGGGGCCAAAACGAAACUUUUAAUAGUUAAGGGACCAAAACGAAACCAAAAAGUAAGUUAAGGGACCAAAACGAAACUUUUAAUAGUUAAUGGA